CGAUCCGUGUUUCUUCCCCUUUCCUUCCUUGGGAGAGGUGGAGGCUGUUUGGUUGGAGAUGUGGGUCGGAAGUACCGUAGUUUAUGUAUGCUAAUAGGGAGAGUUGGGGGUUGUAGCUAGAUAUUUACGUUCAGUGGGAGCCGCCCUUCAUUCACCCACAUGGUUACCAACUGGUCGCCUUCGCGCCACUUUCCUAACCCCGCAAUCAUUUUUAAGCAGCGUAUCUUGGCUAUAAAUUGACUCCCGAACGGCUCGGAUUUCACUUUAUGUUUCGUUUUGUCCGCCGUUAGAAAAGUUUUGGGAUUAGUUGCGUAUUUAUUUCUCUCUUUUGUCGGCAAGAGACUACACGGCACCCCAAGCAAGUGAGCGAAGAUGGUGGAUUUCGGCUGAUCCAUCACGAAGUGCAGAACCCUAAACAAUUGCAACAUGGAGCAGUAUGACCAUCUUUCCCAAGGUGCUGGAGGGCAGCGCUGGUGUAACCAGUCUGUGUAUUGUCAAAGUGCUUACAGUGCAGGUGGGGAUUAGUAGCAAUGCUGUGUACCUGGAGGUAUUGCACUUGUCCCGGCCUGUGUAGGAACGAGGAGAUGGACCCAACCUGGCUCUUGACCCGUGUUGAUCCGAAAACUGCCGCACUCUUGUAAUGCGUUAGCCAGUGUCGUAUGUAUGAAAUGCAUGUGAUGACUGAUGGGACUGUUUUACAUUGGUUAAUUGUAAUGUUACAUUGGUUAAUUGUAAUGUUGCUUGAAAUGUAUAUUAAAUGUUUUACACAUUUCCC